GAUGAACGCUGGCGGCGUGCCUAAUACAUGCCAGUCGAGCGAACAGAUGAGGAGCUUGCUCCUCUGACGUUAGCGGCGGACGGGUGAGUAACACGUGGAUAACCUACCUAUAAGACUGGGAUAACUUCGGGAAACCGGAGCUAAUACCGGAUAAUAUAUUGAACCGCAUGGUUCAAUAGUGAAAGACGGUUUUGCUGUCACUUAUAGAUGGAUCCGCGCCGCAUUAGCUAGUUGGUAAGGUAACGGCUUACCAAGGCAACGAUGCGUAGCCGACCUGAGAGGGUGAUCGGCCACACUGGAACUGAGACACGGUCCAGACUCCUACGGGAGGCAGCAGUAGGGAAUCUUCCGCAAUGGGCGAAAGCCUGACGGAGCAACGCCGCGUGAGUGAUGAAGGUCUUCGGAUCGUAAAACUCUGUUAUUAGGGAAGAACAAAUGUGUAAGUAACUAUGCACGCCUUGACGGUACCUAAUCAGAAAGCCACGGCUAACUACGUG
rnacentral:rRNA from 1 species